CAGUCUCAGGUGUUGGAGAUGAAGUUGAAGUAUGAAUUGGAGUCACUGGAGGAGUAUGAGCCACUGAUGAGCUGGAGCUGGCAAGGUCUUGCAAUGGAGUAUCCGUCCUGACAGGAGAAGGAGAACAGCUAUUGCCAAUAGAAGCAGGAUCAAAGCCUGUCGUACACUCAGUUCUAACCUCCUCUCCCUCAGUGGACACAACCUGAGACCUUGUGUUUGGUAAUGGUGGAAAGUCCUGCGGAUAGCUUUUGUACUAAGCAGUCAUGAGAGGGGUGCAUCGUUGAGCGUUCCCAAUAGACAAAGUAGAGAGGGGAAAGACUGCUUCGUCAAAGAUGACAUGCCUGCUGAUAUAAACACGUCCAGUGGAAGCAUAAUCACGAAGUGUUGGAUAACAGGCACAACCAAACACUCUGAGAGCUGUGUAGUUGGGAGUUCGACCUGUCAAAGCUUCAUAAGGACUGAGAUUCUUAUCCAAGGUCGUGGUUGGUAAGAGAUUGAUCAGGAAAUUUUGCUGUGUAAAAUGCUUCAACCCAAUAUUUUUGAGGAGAUGAGCUGUUGAAUCCCACUUUUCUGCAGAUGAGCCGUAAACUGCUUACUGACAAACUCGCCACCACCAUCACACUGAAAGGUAUCAAUCUUAUUCUGAUAUUGAUUUUCUACAAGCGCUUGAAAACCAUAGAAUAUUUGUAGAAAAUCAGACUUGAGCUUGAGAGGGUAGAACCAGCAAAAUCUUGUAUAGUUGUCAAUAAAGAGCACAUAGUAUUUGAAACCUUGAACUGACAUUAUUGGUGAAGGACCCCAUAGAUCACAAUGAAUUCUUUCCAGGGGUCGAGUAGCUACAAAAGUUGAAGCAGAAAAAGAUAGCUGCUGGAGAACUUGCGUAUGAGGAUGCCCCAAUCGUUUAUGCCAAACAUCUUCCGAAGCCAUUUGUUGUCUUGACGAGAAGUUGACUUGGAGUGAAGCUCUUCCACAUACGCACAUCAUCACAGUCAAAUUGAAAGCCACAAGGAUAAUCGGUAGUAAGCUUUGACACAGAUAACAAACAUUUAGCAAUACCAGGACAAACAAGAACAUCAUUAAGAGGUAAGUUACUAGAGGUUGAGGGAAGACUCGCUGAACCGGUGAUGCGGAGAGUUGGUCACGUGAGAAGUUGCACCAGUAUCUGACACCCAUUCACUUCCAGUUUGAUCAGUAACAUCAGUAAUCCGAAGAGCAGCUAGAGCUUCAGGGAUAUUAUCAAACUGGUAGCUGUUGUCGAAUCAGUGCCAGCACUUAGAGGCAUGAUGACCUGGUUUACCACAAAUUUGGCAAAUCACCUUGUAUCCAGAGGAGGUAGGUGCGACAAUGUUAAACGCCAUAUGUGGAGAAGCCUCUGAACCGGAGCUGUUGUAGCUUCCUAGUCGAUCAGAGAAACUUGUAAGUCGUGAGACCACAUCAUCCAAGGUAAGAGAUGGUUGAGUGUCCAUAGACCCUUCUACUGAAGUCUUGAUAGGUUCAUAUUCUCUACCUAGGCCUUUCAGAGUAGCAAAGAUCUUCAUCUGUUCAUUAACUGGACUACCUAUAGAG